rnacentral:rRNA from 1 species
AGACCACCAGCUAAGGUCCCAAAAUAUAUGUUAAGUGGAAAAGGAUGUGGCGUUGCCCAGACAACUAGGAUGUUGGCUUAGAAGCAGCCAUCAUUUAAAGAGUGCGUAAUAGCUCACUAGUCGAGUGACACUGCGCCGAAAAUGUACCGGGGCUAAACAUAUUACCGAAGCUGUGGAUUGUCCUUUGGACAAUGGUAGGAGAGCGUUCUAAGGGCGUUGAAGCAUGAUCGUAAGGACAUGUGGAGCGCUUAGAAGUGAGAAUGCCGGUGUGAGUAGCGAAAGACGGGUGAGAAUCCCGUCCACCGAUUGACUAAGGUUUCCAGAGGAAGGCUCGUCCGCUCUGGGUUAGUCGGGUCCUAAGCUGAGGCCGACAGGCGUAGGCGAUGGAUAACAGGUUGAUAUUCCUGUACCACCUAUAAUCGUUUUA